rnacentral:snRNA from 1 species
AGCGCUUCUCGGCCUUUUGGCUAAGUUCAAGUGCAGUAUCUGUUCUUAUCAGUUUAAUAUCUGAUACGUCCUCUAUCCGAGGACAAUAUAUUAAAUGGAUUUUUGGAGAAGGGAGAUGGAAUAGGGGCUUGCUCGGUCCACUCCACAUAUCGACCUGGUAUUGCAGUACCUCCAGGAACGGUGCACCCCCU